UACGAAGGGGGCUAGCGUUGCUCGGAAUCACUGGGCGUAAAGCGCACGUAGGCGGAUCUUUAAGUCAGGGGUGAAAUCCCGGAGCUCAACUCCGGAACUGCCUUUGAUACUGAGGGUCUCGAGUUCGGGAGAGGUGAGUGGAACUGCGAGUGUAGAGGUGAAAUUCGUAGAUAUCGAGAGGAACACCUGCGGCGAAGGCGGGUUGCUGGGCUGACACUGACGCUGAGGCGCGAAAGCUAGGGGAGCGAACGGG
rnacentral:rRNA from 1 species